rnacentral:guide_RNA from 1 species
AAGAUGUUGACAAGUAACGAUAUAACAAAGAAAGA